rnacentral:rRNA from 1 species
CCUACGGGCGGCAGCAGUGAGGAAUAUUGGUCAAUGGGCGAGAGCCUGAACCAGCCAAGUCGCGUGAGGGAGUACUGCCCUAUGGGUUGUAAACCUCUUUUGUCGGGGAGCAAAAGCCGGACGUGUCCGGCUGUGAGAGUACCCGAAGAAAAAGCAUCGGCUAACUCCGGGCCAGCAGCCGCGGUAAUACGGAGGAUGCGAGCGUUAUCCGGAUGUAUUGGGUUUAAAGGGUGCGCAGGCGGAGGCACAAGUCAGCGGGAAAAUCGCGGGGCUCAACCCCGCUCCGCCGUUGAAACUGUGUCCCUUAAGUGCGCAUAGGGUAGGCGGAAUGCGUGGUGUAGCGGUGAAAUGCAUAGAUAUCACGCAGAACUCCGAUCGCGAAGGCAGCCUACCGGCGCGCAACUGACGCUCAUGCACGAAAGCGUGGGUAUCGAACAGGAUUAGAUACCCCUGUAGUC